GGGCCCGUAGCUUAGUUGGUAGAGCGUCGCACUUGCACUGCGAAGGUCAGCGGUUCGAAUCCGCUCGGGUCCA
rnacentral:tRNA from 1 species